UUUCCGUAGGUGAACCUGCGGAAGGAUCAUUAUUGUAUAACCGAGGUGCGAGGCUGUCGCUGACCCGAAAGGUCGUGCACGCCCGAGUGCCCUCACACACAUCCAUCUCACCCCUAUGUGCACCACCGCGUGGGUCCCCCUUUGGCUUGUUCGGAGGGGGGCUUACGUUUUCACACAAACUUUGUAUGCAGUGUAGAAUGUAUUUUUGUUUUUGCGAUCACGCAAUCAAUACCACUUUCAACAACGGAUCUCUUGGCUCUC
rnacentral:misc_RNA from 1 species